rnacentral:sRNA from 2 species
AUAAUCUACACGCUGAGUUCCCGAAAGGGAGGCGGGGGAACCAACCUCACCAUAACUAAUGGUGAAUGGGGUGAAUCCUUAGAGCUUGCUGCGCAAGCACAGGGUAGGGCACUCUCAAGCCCGAAUCCGACAGCUAACCUCGUAAGCGUAUUGGGAGAGAACAC